ACAGAGGGUGAGGCCCAGUGACAGAGAUGACAGAUAUUCAAAGAUGGAAUGAAAGAGGUUUGGUGACUGGAUAUAAGCAACGAAACAGGAAGAAUUGAAUUUGGGUCUGAUAUUUCCUGGAUGCAAGAUCAGGAGGAUGUUGGCACCAUGGCUUAGUGGGGAAACUGGGGACCGAUUCUGGAGGUAUACCAGCAUGGUGAGUUUGGUUUUAGAUGGGUUGUGUUUGACAUAGGGCUAGCAAUUCUAAGUGAAGAUGUCUAAAGAAAGAUAGAAGUGACUCAGCUCUGAAGUUCUGAAAUGAUCAGCCAUCAGCGUGGCAUGAGGAAGACCUAGGAACAGACAGACUGGGGAGAAGACACAGAGCCAAGCAGGACCUGGCCUGCAGCCCAAACCCUGUGGAAUCCCUACAUUCAAGGACCAGGUUGAAGUGAAGCCAUUGACAGGAACUGAGAUGCAGUAGUGUUCUGGAAGUCAAGUGAGGAGGAGGAUUGAAGAAGAGGUUGGUCAAAAUUCUGGGGGUUGCCCAGUGGAAACACCAGACUGCAAAGCUUUGAGAAGUCUGUAUGAGAUGAACAACUGGAAAAGGUUCUUCGUGAAGAAUUUGUGUGGUGAAGAGCUGGAAUAGCGGCUUGAGGGAGAGAAGCCAGAUGGAGUCUCACUCUGUCGCCCAGGCUGGAGUACAGUGGUGUGAUCCGGGCUGACUGCAAGCUCUGCCUCCCGAGUUCACACCAUUCUCCUGCCUCAGUCUCCCGAAUAGCUGGGACUACAGGCUCCCACCACCACACCCGGCUAAUUUUUUGUACGUUUUUUUUUUUUUAGUAGAGACAGAGUUUCACCGUGUUAGCCAGGAUGGUCUUGAUCUCCUGACAUUGUGAUCCACCCGCCUUGGUCUCACAAAGUGCUGGGAUUACAGGCGUGAGCCACCGCACCUGGCCAUGUUGAUUUGUUUUAAUGGUAGUUGCAAUACUUGUGAGAGUGACAUCCACCUGGAUGCUGACUUGAAUGGAAUUUCAUAACUGUUGGGUACUGACCAUGAGUUGGUGUGGGGACAUACAAAGUUGAACAAGACAUAGGCUUGCCUCAUAGUGUCUACAGCCUGGAAGAGGGAAGAAAGUGACAACACAAAUAGUUCUGCAUCUUAUGAAUUCAUGGGAAGAGGAGAGGUGUCAUAAGACAGGUAUGCAGUGCUGCAGAGGUUUGGAGAGGUUGGAUCAGGUUGGGGUGUGGAGGGCGGGGAGGGAAGGAGUUCAGAGAACCUUUCCUGAAGAAGGUAGCAUCUGAGCGGACAUCAAAGGUGAGCAGAAGCUGCGUAAGCUGAGAGAGGGUGGAAAAGAGGGCGUUUCCAGUGGAGGGACUUAGCACAAGCAAAGACAACAAACCCUUGGGCCUGUAAAGGAAACAAUAAAUUAAUUUGUCUAGAAUGUGACAGUAGUGGAAUAUGAGAUUCAACGACUGUCCUAGCUCUUUUUGAAAAUUUUGCUUUCUACAUAGUUACUUAAUAGCUCCAAUCUGGAAACAACCCAAAUGUUCAUUAACAGAAGACUGGAUAAACAAAUUGUGGCAUAUCCAGACAAUAGAAUGCUACUGAACAAUUAACAAAACUGUAGACACAACAUCAACAAACCUAAAAAUAAUUAUGUGUCAUGAAUGAAACCAGAAAAAAGAAUAAAUACUUCAUGAUCUCAUUUAUAAGAAAAUUCUAGAUAAGGCACAAACUAAGCUACAGUUAAUAUGUAGUUUCCAGGGGAUUCGUUAUCAGUAGUGCAGAGAGAAGAGGAUUAUAACAGACAUGAGGUAAUGUGUUGGGUGAUAGAUAUGUUCAUUAUCAUAGCUAUAGAGAUGGUUUGAAAUAUAUGUACAUGAAAAAUGUAUCAAACUGUAUACUUGCAACAUGAGUUUUAUUGCAUGUCAAUUAUACUGCAAUAAGGCGUUUAAAAAAGGGUUCUACAUAAAAAUACAAAUCCACUUAUUUUAGAAAACCAGAAGUUUUGGCAACCGUAUGCUGAUUCUGCCAUCUCCAGCCUGAUUCCUUGGGAGAGGUUAACCUUCCACAGUGGUGGCAAAAGUCAGCAGGCAAUGAAGGCUAUUUCCACCUGAGUCACCAGAAAGAAUGGCUAGGUCAUAAGCCACAUGGCUGGACUCUAUCUACCUCCCUGUAAUCUCCACUCUUUCACCUGUGCCAGCAAUGGUUUAGAGAUGAACAGACCAUAAAGACUAUGGAAAUCCAAUAAUCUUUAAUGCAUUUGCUCUGUCAGUGACAUUUGCCAUAGGAGAGAGAGAGAUUUGGAAUUUAUAAUUUGUACACCCUGAUUCUGCACAGCCUUAGUCUCUGACAAUGUGUGAAUGCAUAUUUGGAAGGGACACAUUCUCCCAGUUUACUGCAAUAUCCUCGCUCCCUAUUAAUUACACCCAGUGAUUAAGCCCACAAUGCCUUUUAAAUUUUCCCAGCAAGCCUUGUACAACAAUCCAAAUCAGGCCAAAAGUAGGAGGAGAGCUAUUUUCUUCCUGCCUGCUUUCCCUCUGAGCAUACAAAUUUGGAGGCCCCAUAACAACUGCUCCCCUCUUCAUGCUGGCAGAGCCUAAUUAUUUCUCAACUUAUCCCUAAACAAAGAAUAGAUCACCAAAAUACUUCAGAUGAAACGUAGAGCAGACAGGUCCUGGGCUGGGAAUCCAGGAGACUGAUGCAACAAAUGCAACAAAGAGCAUUAAGAGACUAGCAAUGUCCAUGAAGAAGGGAACCUAAUAAGUAAGCUGCCACAGCUCAAGUCCUCCUGGCCAAAGCCAGGUCAUGUCCCUCUAUAACCAGCCAGUGAGAAGGGAAUGAGGUCCCUAAACGGGUUCGGGGGAUUCAUGAUUCUCUCUGGGGACUGGAGAGAGAGCCUGGAGGUCUCACUUUCUUGAGCACAUCGGGGUGACUGAUGGACCCUGCCGGGUGGUCAAGGUGAGAUGGCUUCUGGCACAGGUAUUGGAUGUGACAUAAUCCUUGCGAAGGGCCUAGACAGUUAAGGAAGUGCACCCUACCUCCUGAAAGCUCCCUCCAUACCUGGCACUAAAAGGUAUUAUCACCAGUUCAGAUAUUUUGAUAUAUAUGGUUCGCUUCUGUCUGAUGACUCCCUGCAAAAAGGCUACCCUCCAAGCUACCCUCUAGGGUGAGUCAUUAGACAGAACAAGGAUAUAACACAUCCCCUGCUCUCCUAAGGAAAUUCUCUCAGUGUGAAUUUUCUUGUGCUGAAUGAACAAAGAUUUUUUUUUGUUUGUUUGUUUUUUUUGGUUUGUUUUUAGACAGUCUCAGUCUGUCACCCAGGCUGGAGUGCAGUGGCACGAUCUUGGCUUACUGCAACCUCUGCCUCUGGGGUUCAAGUGAUUCUUGUGCCUCAGCCUCCCGAGUAGCUGGGAUUACAGGCACCUGCCACCACGCCCAGCUAAUUUUUUUUUUUUUGUAUUUUUUGUAGAGAUGGGGUUUUGCCAUGUUGGUCAGGCUGGUCUUGAACCCCUGACCUCAAGUGAUCCUCCCGCCUUGGCCUCCCAGAGUGCUGGGAUUACAGACAUGAGCCACUGCGCCUGGCCUCAAUGAGUAAAUGUUUUGCUAAAAAAUUUCCCACACUGCCUCAGCAUAAAGCCUUACUUCAGUGUCAACUUUUGGUGCUGAACAAGGCACUCCUUGGCUGAAACCUUCCCACAUUCUAUGCAUUCAUAAGGCUUUUGCAGGGUGAACUUUCUGGUGCUGAGCAAGGUUAGAGGGACAGCCAAAGGCUCUCUCACAUUGUCCCCACUCAUAAAACCUUUCUGUGUUGUGAACUUUCUGGUGCCCUGCAAGGUGGACAUUUCUGCUGUAGGAUUUCCCACACCUGCUGUACACAUAAGGGCUUGCUCCAGAGUGAAGUCUCUGGUGGUGAACAAGGCUGGAGCUCUGGCUAAAGGAUUUCCCACAUUCUUUGCACUCAUAAGGACUUUCUCCAAUAUGGGUUCUUUGAUGUUGACCAAGUCCAUAUUUGGAGCUCAAAGAUUUCUUACGCAAUGUAAAUUAGUAUAACCACUAUGGAGAACAGUUUGGAGGUUCCUCAAAAAACUAAAAAUAGAGCUACCAUAUGACCCAUCAAUCUGACUUCUAGUUAUAUACCCCAAAGAAAAGAAAUCAGUACAUUGAAGAGAUAUCUGCCCUCCCAUCUUUGUUGCAGCACUAUUCACAAUAGCCAAGAUUUGGAAGUAACCCAAAUGUCCAUCAACAGACAAAUGGAUAAAGAAAAUGUGGUGCAUAUACACAAUGGAGUAGUAUUCAGCCAUAAAAAAGAAUGAGAUCUUGUCAUCUGCAACAACAUGGAUGGAACUGGAGGUCCUUAAGGUUAAGCAAAAUAAUCCAGGCACAGAAAGAAAACAUUGCAUGUUCUCAUCUAUUUGUGAGAACUAAAAAUUAAAACAAUUGAACUCAUGGAGAUAGAGAGUAGAAGGAUGGUUACCAGAGGCUGGGAAGGGUAGUGAGGGCGAGUGAGGGGGAAGUGGGGUGUUUAAUGUGUCCAAAAAAUGGUCAGAAACAAUGAAUAAAGUCUAAUAUAUGACAGCAAAAGAGUGUGACUAUAGUCAAUAAUAAUCGAAUGGUACAUUUAAAAAUAACUAAAAGUGUAUAUUUGGAUUGUUUGUAACAUAAAGGAUAAAUGCUUGAGGUGAUGGAUACCCCAUUUACCCUGAUGUGAUUGUUACACAUUGUAUGCCUGUAUCAAAGUAUCCAUAUACCCCAUGAAUAAAUGUAUAUACCUACUAUGCACCUACAAAAAUUAAAAUAAUAAAAAAAAGGAUUCCCCAUAUUUGCUACACUCA